rnacentral:rRNA from 1 species
UGGGGAAUAUUGGACAAUGGGCGCAAGCCUGAUCCAGCCAUGUCGCGUGGAUGAUGAAGGCCCUAGGGUUGUAAAGUCCUUUCGGCGGGGAAGAUAAUGACGGUACCCGCAGAAGAAGCCCCGGCUAACUUCGUGCCAGCAGCCGCGGUAAUACGAAGGGGGCUAGCGUUGCUCGGAAUCACUGGGCGUAAAGCGCACGUAGGCGGAUUCUUAAGUCGGUGGUGAAAUCCUGGAGCUCAACUCCAGAACUGCCUCCGAUACUGAGAGUCUUGAGUCCGGGAGAGGUGAGUGGAACUGCGAGUGUAGAGGUGAAAUUCGUAGAUAUUCGCAAGAACACCAGUGGCGAAGGCGGCUCACUGGCCCGGUACUGACGCUGAGGUGCGAAAGCGUGGGGAGCAAACAGGAUUAGAUACCCCCGUAGUCCCUGAGCGGGCUGGCAAGGCGCAU